UACGGAGGAUCCUAGCGUUAUCCGGAAUCAUUGGGUUUAAAGGGUCCGUAGGCGGUUUAGUAAGUCAGUGGUGAAAGCCCAUCGCUCAACGGUGGAACGGCCAUUGAUACUGCUGAACUUGAAUUAUUAGGAAGUAACUAGAAUAUGUAGUGUAGCGGUGAAAUGCUUAGAUAUUACAUGGAAUACCAAUUGCGAAGGCAGGUUACUACUAAUGGAUUGACGCUGAUGGACGAAAGCGUGGGGAGCGAACAGG
rnacentral:rRNA from 1 species